rnacentral:rRNA from 1 species
AUUGAACGCUGGCGGCAGGCCUAACACAUGCAAGUCGAACGAGUGGCGGACGGGUGAGUAAUGUCUGGGAAACUGCCUGAUGGCGGGGGAUAACUACUGGAAACGGUAGCUAAUACCGCAUACCAUCGGAUGUGCCCAGAUGGGAUUAGCUAGUAGGUGGGGUAAAGGCUCACCUAGGCGACGAUCCCUAGCUGGUCUGAGAGGAUGACAAGCCACAAGGAAACUGAGCAACGGUCCAGACUCGUACGGGGGGCAGCAGUGGGGAAGAUGUCACGAUGGGAGCAAGCCUGAGGCAGCCAUGCCGCGUGUAUGAAGAAGGCCUUCGGGUUGUAAAGUACUUUCAGCGGGGAGGCGUUACCCGCAGAAGAAGCACCGGCUAACUCCGUGCCAGCAGCCGCGGUAAUUC